rnacentral:rRNA from 1 species
AUUGAACGCUGGCGGCAUGCCUUACACAUGCAAGUCGAACGGUAACGGGCCUUCGGGUGCCGACGAGUGGCGAACGGGUGAGUAAUGUAUCGGAACGUACCUUUCAGUGGGGGAUAACGUAGCGAAAGUUACGCUAAUACCGCAUAUUCUGUGAGCAGGAAAGCAGGGGAUCGCAAGACCUUGCGCUGAUUGAGCGGCCGAUAUCAGAUUAGCUAGUUGGUGAGGUAAAGGCUCACCAAGGCGACGAUCUGUAGCGGGUCUGAGAGGAUGAUCCGCCACCCUGGAGCUGAGACACGGUCCAGACUCCUACGGGAGGCAGCAGUGGGGAAUUUUGGACAAUGGGGGCAACCCUGAUCCAGCCAUGCCGCGUGAGUGAAGAAGGCCUUCGGGUUGUAAAGCUCUUUCGGCCGGGAAGAAAUCGUAUCAGCUAAUACCCUGUGCGGAUGACGGUACCGGCAUAAGAAGCACCGGCUAACUACGUGCCAGCCGCCGCCGUAAAAC